rnacentral:lncRNA from 1 species
GCUUGAUUUCAUCAUUCCACAAUGUAUACAUAUUUCAGAACAUCAUGUUGGACACCAUAAACAUCUGUCAAUUAAAAAAAUUUAAAAGAGAUAGAAUGGGAUGAGCACUCUAGGAAGAGCACUUUGCAAGUGCAAAGGCCCUGAGGUAGGAGGUGCAGUUCUGUUUAUUAGUGGAGGGUAGGCUGAUGGGACUGGCAUGGACCAAAUGGGACAGGUGUGAGAGACAGGCCAGAGAAGUGACAGGCGGGAUAGAUGAGGGGAGCUCCAGGUGGACAUAAAUCAUCCUGUUUAAUUUGUCCUUUGUUGUGACCAAGACAGGGAGUUAGAGGAAAGUUCUGAACUGAGGAGUGACAUGACCUGAGUCACAUUUUAACAGGAUCCCUCUGGCUGCUUCACUGGGAAAUACCAGAAGGAAGAGGUGCUCAGAAGUUAGGAAGCUAUUACAAUAAUCCAGGCAAGUCGGAACAGAUGUUGUUUUUGGUGAUGUAAGUUACCAGGGUUGGGGGUCUGAUCUGGAGGAACUGGGAGG